AUGUGUCCCUGUGCUUCCUUGUUUCAUGCUACAUUGCUGUGCUUAAUUGAAUUAAAAGCUGCUUGGGACCAUGUUUUUGGUUUUGCUCUGUGUGCACACAAUAUGAAUUUAAAACCCUUUCCUUUUUUUUUUUUCUUUUUCUCUUUUUUUUUUUUUUUNUUUUGGGGGGGGGGGUUGUGUGGGCUGGGGUCUUCUGCAUUUUUUUAUUGCAUUUCCCCAUUCCUAUUCAUUCCUUAUCUUAGGAUUUCUCAUCCUCUGAAGCACCAGAGUAGCUACCACGAGUUCACCUACUGCUGCUACGUGGGAAUGCCUGCAGCAGGCACGAGACUCACACAUUAUGGGGACAUCUCAGGUUCUGCCUGGCAUACUGCAGAAGCAUUGCUGUAUUUUGCCUGACAGGAACACAGAGAUAUGAAUUACCGGGUGUGUAACGAGAUUAAUUGAAGAAAAGUCUGGAGGGAAUUUUACAGAUGUCCUAGUCAUGAGAAACUUUGCAAAAAGCUUGUGAAGCUGCCCACAGAUUUGAAGCUGUGAGAAAUCUGAAAUGCCACAGAUGACUAUGACGCUACUUAAAAUUGCUGAGGUUAAUGGACUGCAUGGUAGGUAUUAUGAGUGUCACUUAACUGCACUGCUUUUACAGAACAUAGUUUUCCUCUUCUAAUAAUGUUAAUUAUGAAGCACACAUAAUCUGAGACAACAUAAUGGAUGCUAUUGUUCCAUUUGUGAAAACACUUGAUGUUUAUCAGUGCUAGUGAGGGAUAGCAUGCUGCAUAAUUCUGCUGUAUUUAAUUUUAUAUUGUACAUAAUAUGACACUACUGCAGAUACGCUUUUUUUGCAUGCCAGUAGAACACCACAGUUUUCAUCUUCACAUUAGAAUAUGCAAUACAAAUCUGUUCCCACUUUUAUUAUAGUAAAGAAUUCAGAGUGAACCUCAUCCAAUACAUUCAUUAUUUUAGAAAAUGAGUGAAGAUUUUCUUCAGCCUAGUGAGUAUUCUUUCCUAAAAAAAUUUAGUUUGGUCUUCAAUACCUGAACAUUUCUAAUUAGAUUUUUUUUUUUUCCCCAACAGGUCUUCUGUCUUAUCUGCUGGAGAACUACUUUGGACUGAAUCAAGAUAUAAAAAAAAUUACCAAAUAUCAUGAAACUAAUGUCAUGGGCAUAAGAGCUGGUAGACAGCAACAGCUACAAAGAGUAGAAGUCUACGUUCAAAACAGUCUUGUCAAAAAAAGGUUUUGAACUUUAAGCCCCUUCCUUUCCUUUUCCUCUGGGAAGUGUAGAUGACAGCAUUUGAAUUUUAUCCUGGAUAUACAAAUAUGUAUGUUGUAAUAAAGUCCUGUGAACAUUUAUACA
rnacentral:lncRNA from 1 species